rnacentral:rRNA from 1 species
AUUGAACGCUGGCGGCAUGCUUUACACAUGCAAGUCGAACGGUAACAGGCCGCAAGGUGCUGACGAGUGGCGAACGGGUGAGUAAUGCAUCGGAACGUGCCCAGUCGUGGGGGAUAACUACUCGAAAGAGUAGCUAAUACCGCAUACGAUCUAUGGAUGAAAGCGGGGGAUCGUAAGGCCUCGCGCGAUUGGAGCGGCCAAUGUCAGAUUAGGUAGUUGGUGGGGUAAAGGCUCACCAAGCCAACGAUCUGUAGCUGGUCUGAGAGGACGACCAGCCACACUGGGACUGAGACACGGCCCAGACUCCUACGGGAGGCAGCAGUGGGGAAUUUUGGACAAUGGGCGCAAGCCUGAUCCAGCAAUGCCGCGUGCAGGAAGAAGGCCUUCGGGUUGUAAACUGCUUUUGUACGGAACGAAACGGCUCUGGUUAAUACCCGGGGCUAAUGACGGUACCGUAAGAAUAAGCACCGGCUAACUACGUG